AUGACAUUUGAAGUGCUGUUGUUAAGUAUCAGCAAGGUCAAGCUUCUUGAGCUUGCUACGGCUGACUUCGUCAAGAAGGGUGAUGAUGACCCAACUAACUGUGUGUUUUGGAAACUACAUACACAGGCUGAGGUUGUGUUCUUUAGGCGUAUUGAACAUCCGUUUCUUACUAUGCCUCGUGUUGCCGGCCUAGGGAGUGGAACUUCCCCAAGAUUUGAAUUCUCUCGGGAUCGUAAUACUGGUGCCCCCUGUAGAUCUAGGAGGUUCUUCUGCACGUGUGAGUGCUCCAGGUGGUGUGUCUUCUGA
rnacentral:rRNA from 1 species